AGCAGCUCUACCUGAGAACCGGACGGGCUAAGACACAAAAACUGAAGAAUUUUGAACAAAUAUUGAUUCCAAUCUUCAAAACUUUGAAAAUGGGAGGUGGUAAAUCUGUGGAAUCUGCUAAACCUGAGGAAUCUGGUGAAGAAAGGGAACGUAAAAGAGCUGAAGCAGCUGAAAAUCAAAAAUCGACUAUGGAGGAAGAACUUAAGAAACAAAAACUAGAAAAUGAAUUAGAGCGAUUGAGAGAGGAGAAAAAAAUAGCAGAGGAGCGCAACAAAAGCGAAGCAGAAAAACGAGCACUCCAGGAACAAUAUGAUAAAAUAGAAAAUGAGAGAAACAUGCAGAGAUUGAAAGAAGAAGAGAAGAAGAAAAUCGACAAUGAGAACAGAUGUAAAGAGGAAGAAGAAAGGAAAAGAAUUCAAAUAGAGAAGCAAAAUGCACAAAAAGACGAAAGUAAAAAGAUGCUAACAAGCGUUAACCAAUGAAGUAGGCCUACUUUUUCUAAACUCUUAACACAGUAACACGCCUACAUCACAAUUGGCCAAAUAGUAGCCUACAUUUCCUGGCCAAAACCACAUUUUGUAAAAUGUAUACAAAAUGCAAAAAAAACUUUUUCUAUGUUAACUCUAUCAAAUCAAAGCAAACAGCCUCAGAUUUGAAUCAUUCUUUCAAAACUCCAGCACGGGUUUUCUAUCCAACACGAACACAUAGGACUAGUCAAUCAUUGCAGAACAACUGUCAAAAUACUAAAAAUGGAUGGCAUUAUGAAAACUGCAUUAUUGAAAACUGUCAUGUUGAAGUUCUACCUGCAGACAAUAUGAAAUCCAUUGGUUUUUUUUUAAUUAUUCAGUUUCCUUUCACUGUAAGCAUAUGAAAUCCAUUUUUUUUUAAUUAUUCAGUUUCCUUUUACUGUAAGCCAUUGUAUUUUUCUUUGGUUGAAUGUGUGCAAUCUAAAAGUAAAUGAGUUAUAAAGUGUAAAAAAAAAAGAAAAAAGUAAUAGGUCCCUACUUCAGUUGAAAUCUCUUUGGUGUGUGGUCUGUGGUUUACUGAAAUGAAAACAUGAAAUUGCUGUCAGUUGGUUUCGAUGGAACCCCCCCCCCCCCAACAGAAUAAAAAAAGUGUAAAAUGUAA